UAUUAUUAUUAUUAUUAUUAUUAUUUAAUCUGUUUGCUCUAGAAGAUUCUCUCCACAUCUCCUUUUUUCCCUCCUAUGAUCUAUGACAGAACGCCGGACCUUUCAACAAGAAGAACUGGGCUGAGGAUUUUCUCCAAGACUUCCAACAGGAAAGACAGCCUUUAGAGCAGUUUGUGUAAGAGUUUCUGAGCGUGUUACAUCUGUUGAGUUGGAGCGACUCCAUGAUUAAAGGGACAGUUCACACAAAAAUUCAAAUCUGAUGUUUAUCUGCUUAACCCCAGGUGAUCCAAUGUACAGCAGCGUGUGAUCGGACCGCACUGCCACGAGCACCCCAUGGAUUCACCCGCACCUGGACCUGAUUGAGAGCACCUCUGCACGGCGACCCACCGUCAUCACCCAUGUAUCUUCAGUUACAAAUAAAAUCCACCCUCUGGGGCUUUUCACUUGA